rnacentral:rRNA from 1 species
UGCAAUGGGCGCAAGCCUUGAACAGCAGCAAUACCGCGUGAAGGAUGAAGGCCUACGGGUUGUAAACUUCUUUUCUCAAGGAGGAAGACAUGACGUUACUUGAGGAAUAAGCAUCGGCUAACCCUGUGCCAGCAGCCGCGGUAAUACGA